rnacentral:lncRNA from 1 species
GAGUACCAGUGCUCCGUUCUACCAAGCUGUACCAGUUUGGAAUUUUACACUUUGGGGCAAGAGAUCUUCUACUACGUGUAGUUUGCAGCCUAAUUAAUGGUGAUACUGCUCCUGACUUUUCCCCAGCUUAAGAUAUGAAUAAACAGGGAGGUGUUCUCUGUUACCAUUUCCCUGUUGCUGGAGCAUAUCCUUGAGUACAUACCACUUUUAAACGUCCUUUGGCAAGCCUUUGUGCCCCCUGGAGAUGCGUCACACCAGGGCUGGCCAACCUGCAGCUGGUGAGCCGUUGAGCCGCACAUCACAUGCUGGGACCGCAUCCUCUGGCUAACCACAAGGCUGUGGUGGCAGACGGCUGCUCUUGCAGGUACCUGGCAUGAGUUUUGCGCCGCUCAACCACAUGAAGAUUUCAGUCAGUGACUCGAAGGAUCAGAAAGGCUGGCUUCCACUGAUUUACAUCAAUGGUUGUUCGUUUGGUGCUCGUGCUUUGCAGCAAGUUCUAUUCAGAUGGAAAUUGGAAUUCAAAGAGCUUGCAGAAAAGCGGUUAUUUAGAAUUCUUUUAAUUAGUUGACUGGCAAUAUCUUAAACAUGCUGGAAAAAUAAGUUGACUAAAAUAUGUUUUGAUUAAACCUGUUAAUGAAACAAAGUAUCACUGAUUUAUUUCUGGUAGAUUCUGAUCUUGGAAGAUUUUAGAACUAGCAGAUCUUAUCAUCUCAUGGUAAUUUUUACACAAAAAGUAGAAAAAUUUUUUUAUCUUCCAAUUAGUUUAAAUAUGAGUAAACAGUACAUAUUGAAUGCAAUUUUUUGAAUAAACUGCAGCUAAGAAAUUUUUUUUGCA